CAAAAGCUGCUCUGCCAUUCUGGAAGCUACAGAGAAAGCAAACCCAGGCAAGAAAAAAAGGAGAGGGGUACCACAGGAUAGAACACAUGCUGUGAAACCCUAAAAACUACCAACCAUGGUGUAGGUCAUGCUGAUGGAACUUUGUCCCCU